UAAUCUCGAUCGAAUCCGUGAUUUUAAAUCACUAGGAAAAUGAUGAAGCAUUAUCCGAAAUGGUUGAAAAACAUUAUACAUAUAAGAAUACCGUCUGUUGCAGUCACCUGAUCAUGCUUUGUUCAAGCCAUUUAGUUUAAAUUUUUUGAUCUAGAAGCCAGUGACUUUAUUAUUAGCGAAUUUGUCGGACAUUUUGUUCACAAUGACGAAUAUUGUGUUAAGUUUGAGGAAUUUUCGAACAAAAAUUUCUGAGAAAGUGAUGAAAAAGCAGAAAUAGUAGUUGCAAAAUGGCGAAGGCACAUUCCUGUAUAAAAUGUUUUAAUUGAAACUCCAGUUUCGUUAACUUGAAGCUUACAGAGAUUUGAAUAAAUCUUAAAAAUGGAAAAUGAUUUAUCAUUUACUCAUUACUAUCAUUAUCAUUACUUCGAGCAAAAAAUGACAGCUGUAAAUUAUGGUGAGAGUGUUGACCUGAAAAAAAAUUGACACCAUUAAUUAAUUCUACUGCGCAGUUUAUGAAGUGAAUUUAGCUAUAAAGUUAAUUUGUGGCUUCCAAAAAAAAAGAGAAAUAUGCAUUUGGAAUUGUAAGAAGAUUUAUUUCAAUCAAUAAAAUGUUGGAUAUU